AACCUAACUUUAAUAUUUAGAGGUAGAAAUUCACCUGAUUUGAAGAUAACCCUUUUCGUGUGUGUCUUCUGAGAGUGGGAUUGGACUGAGAAUAUUGUAUCGUGCUUUUACACAGACAGUGCCACAUCUUUAGCGUGGGAGUAAGGGAACAUACAGAACAAAGUUUAAAAAUCAUCCUGUGAUUCGGAGCGUGCGAGACAGUGUAAACACCAGUAAAUGCUUUGACUGGUUCCAGAAUAAUUGGCUUAGCAUCAACACACGUCCUUGUUGUUAAAGCUUCUUAUAGAGAAAAGGCAAAUGAGGAUUGAUCGCUCUUACCCUGUAGUCUGGUCAUUGUAGCACCGAAAAGACAUUUUUUUGUGAGUAAAAUGUGCAUACGCUGAAAUUGACAGGUCCUUACUGUAUGAUUUGAUGAGUUUGACAAGUGUAUGUGUCUAAGAAACCUAAGAAACCAACACCCCAUUCACGAUCUACAACAUUUCCAUCGGCCCAGAAAGUUCCCUCCUGGUAGACCCUCGCCCCCACAGACGGCCGCUCCGAUGGGCACACUGGCGGAAAGUUCUCUGUGAAUAUUUGAUGUUAAUUGUUACAACUCUUUUUCAAUUCGUAGGAGGUCAGAGCCUUCAGAUGGCAGAUAACAGUUUUUCAGAUGGUGUUCCCUCAGACGCCUUGGAGGCUGCUAAAAAUGCAAG